GAUGAACGCUGACAGAAUGCUUAACACAUGCAAGUCCACUUGAACUUCGGUUUGGGUGGCGGACGGGUGAGUAACGCGUACGGAACUUGCCUCACAGAUAGGGACAACAUUUGGAAACGAAUGCUAAUACCUGAUAUUAUGAUUAUAUGGCAUCGUAUAAUUAUGAAAGCUAUAUGCGCUGUGAGAGAGCUUUGCGUCCCAUUAGCUAGUUGGAGAGGUAACGGCUCACAAAGGCGAUGAUGGGUAGCCGGCCUGAGAGGGUGAUCGGCCACAAGGGGACUGGGACACGGCCCUUACGCCUACGGGAGGCAGCAGUGGGGAAUAUUGGACAAUGGACCAAGAGUCUGAUCCAGCAAUUCUGUGUGCACGAUGAAGUUUUUCGGAAUGUAAAGUGCUUUCAGUUGGGAAGAAAAAAAUGACGGUACCAACAGAAGAAGUGACGGCUAAAUACGUG
rnacentral:rRNA from 1 species